rnacentral:rRNA from 1 species
UACGUAGGGGGCUAGCGUUGUUCGGAAUCACUGGGCGUAAAGGGCGCGUAGGCGGCUUUGUAAGUCGGGGGUGAAAGCCUGUGGCUCAACCACAGAAUUGCCUUCGAUACUGCAUGGCUUGAGACCGGAAGAGGUAAGUGGAACUGCGAGUGUAGAGGUGAAAUUCGUAGAUAUUCGCAAGAACACCAGUGGCGAAGGCGGCUUACUGGUCCGGUUCUGACGCUGAGGCGCGAAAGCGUGGGGAGCAAACAGG